ensembl:lncRNA
GCUAGCUAGACGUGUUGCGUUGUGUUUAGUUUUCCCAAGACUAGCGGAAUGAAUGAAUCCAUGCGCGUGCUAUACCCUAUAUAUAAGGCUGCAUAUGAUUUCAAUUCUGCGAGGUCCAGAGGCAGAAUAUCCCUAAUUAAUCUCGGUGUUAAUUAGCCUACUUCUUUCCGUGUUACAUGUUUAUGUGUACCAAGCAGUCCUUCAAUCAGAGAGAGAGAGUAAACUAUGCAAGGAUGAUUUUUUAAUAUGCUAGCUGUGAGAAGGUGUACACCAUAUUUCCCAAAGUUCAUGGGUGCAUUUAAAUGAGACCAUUUUUCGCCAUUUUCAAAUUUGCGCUACGCUCCUUUAAUUCAGGAAACAACUUUGCGCACACAGACCACGAGUCAGGUCCACCAGCAGCACCAAUUCACCCUGAGCAACACAAUGUUUAAAGGAAGUUUUAGAUAUCCACAAAUGAAUGUGUCAGAUAGCAAGUCUGCCUGAGAGCAUGCUGUUCCAAACUCCCAACACCGAGAAGUGUAUUUUUCCCCUCCUCACCCGAGUUGAGCGGGCCACGCAGCGCUGGGGCCCCACUCUCCACGCCUUUUGUUGGCCCUAUUGUAAUGAGUGUGUGUUGGGAUCGGGGGCGUAAUGAGAGGGCUGCGACCCCCCGAUGAGGUGGAUUUGCUGUCCAAAGACCGUUAGACAGCGCCAGAAUGAAUGGGGGAGUGAAUGUCAUUGUAAUGCAGCGGGACAGCUCCUCCUUCGCGCUGGUUAAGACCGAGAGGCCGCACUGACCAGAAACCGAGCUGGGAGAAAAACACUGCCUGCGAGCUCGCUACUUUUUCUCUUUUAGUUCCCUUUACCAAUGUUUCCGCCAUAUUUCCUCUGUGUUUCGGGAAAAAUCAUGGCUGUCAGCUACUUUUGGGACACAGCACUGAAGGAGGUUUUCUCACAGGAUCAUCUUCCGAGCUCCAGGAUUCGUCUGUGAAGAUUCUAAUAACUAGAAGAACCAUUGAGUCUAGCUCCUAUCUGCAAAACGUCUUUCUCAAGGACACGUCGCUGAUGAGGCUUUGGCUAACUGGGGAGAACGCGGCCUGGUGUGUGACGUCAUCACGUCCCCAUGUAAUCCUUUUGCGUUGAGCCCAAUCAGCAGAAGGCUGCGCGUGUCUGGGCCGGGAAGAGAGAACCUCUAAUCCGCGAGACUGGAUCAGAGCGGCUGAGAGAGAGAGAGAAAAAAAACACCCACCCAGGGCUGGAGCAAAAAAAAAUCCUUUGCCGAGGACGGGCGAGAUUAAAAAGGGAUGGAUCGGAGAGGACGCGGCCCAGUGCUGGUGGGGGUCUGCGGAGCGCUACAGUGCAGCAAUGAAUUUAACCGAGGAUGCCGCAAAGGAGAGCUGAGCUCUAUGGAAGGAAAAAGCAAAUCACCGUCGAGACACCAGGCAUAGAAAGAACGCAGCAGUCAAAGUAUUGCAGCCCGAGCGUAUUAUUAUUUUUUAUUUAUUUAUUUAUUUUUAUGCUUUGUUUUGACGCGCGUUUUAUUUGCAGGAGCGCGCGCGAUUAAAUUGGGCAGCAGUGAAGAAGGAACGCUACUAUGCGCACACCGAGCAGGAGGGCGCAUUUGCAUAGACAAGCGGAGAGACUUGGACAAGCCAUCGUAUUCUUUCCCGGUACUGUAGCAUAUUUCCAAACGACAUUCUGUCCUUCUUCUUUUUUUUCCACCCCUCCUUUUUUGUGUUAUUAUGAACAAAGGAUCAGCAUCGAGCAGCAUUUUCAAAAAACCUUGGACACAGAACAUAUGAACGCAAACUCUUUUGAUACCACGGAGCAUCGCAAUGCUGAGCGCAAGAGAAAAUCUCUUCUGCAUCCAGCGACCUGCUUUAUUCUGCAUCGUUCCCUCUGUGACCUUGUGACACUUUGCGCUUGAUUUAAAUAGCCUACCCCUGCGUGGACUGAAAUGUGUCGUGAUAUUUCACACCAUCUUUGUUUUGAAUGUUGCAGGAUAUGUGGUUGUAACGAUCAAUUGAUGCCCUAACCGGUUUGCGUCACUGCUGCGCUUGCAUUCAUACUAAAGUUAUUUACAAAAAAAAAGAAAGAAAAAAAAGGAGGAGUGUGUGUGGUGCUGGGAGGGUGGAGGUGUGGGGGGUGAUUUUAGGGGAGGGGACGAAACAGUGCACUGUAAUGUCCAUCCAAAUCCAGGGAAAGCGCUCUGCUAGAGGCGGUGCUCGGAGCGCGAAGUUCGAGCGCCUUGUAUUCUGUGUGGUCGGCUUUAAACGGAAAGCUUGGUCGGGUUCUUGCUCUGCGUGUUCACAGCGGACCUUGAUUUAAUGUCCAAACAAUUAAGGCACGCGGUGAAUGCCAAGAGAGGAAUCUCCUGAGCAUCGUGUUUCCUCCAUUCUGUCGUAUUCCGCGCGAGUUGACAUUCGUAAUGCGCACGACGCCAAUGACAGUCAUCAACAUUUCAGCCUAUGUUCAAUACAGCUGCGGACGAUAACAGGAUAUCAGCUUCGUUACUGCGAGGCGUUCAGUAACAGAUCAAAAUAAUGGCUGUAUUAGGGGUUAUUUUCCCUCAACGUUCACAAGGAAGAGCAUCACAGGCCUUGCGCUUCAUUGUGGUUUGCUCAUUUUGCGCAACCUUUAUGUGCAGGCCCGAGUCUUCUCCUUUGUGCAGUGAAGGUCUAGCAGAAAAUGACUACAUGUGCACUUUGCAAAUGUAUCCACAUAACCAACCGAGGCUGUAAAAUGAAGACAAUAGCCUACAAAUAGCCUACUGUGAAAAUUAAUCUUUAGUUUUAAGCUAGUUUUCGCACAUCACAGACAGAUGCGUUUGCGUAUGCGUCAGCAGGCCUUGCUAUUUGUGGACUAAUAAAUAUAUCCCCGUGUGUCUUGGUUCAAAAGAAUGUACAGUGAUUAUGUGGGGGAAAUAUGGGGAUUGGGGUAAAUAGCACAGGCUACCCAGGGUACAAUCAAACGACAUUAGCAUAUGUUGCAAUGUGACAAGUUUGAGCUUGCUUUGUGUGAGUGCGCCACCUAUAGAGUCCAUCGGUAACAGUCGUAUUUAGAAACACGCCAUUUAGUAACUUCCUUUACAGCAAUCAACGAGUUAAUGGGCUUUUGUUUUGCUAUUGUAAAAAACAAACAAAAAAAAAACAAAAAAAAGCGGUCUUUGCAUAACAGUUCAUAUAGGCUAGAGCUGCACGCUAUAUAGAGCUGGUCCUGAAUUCAUAUCCAUGAAAAUUCUGUCUAUUAAUGAAGAGAAAUUGUAAAAGGUCUAUGGGAAUGUAAUUACAGUUGAAGUAUCACGUUGCGCAGUGGCAUUUCUGAAUCGGAGAUCCUAGGGGGGGAAAUAUCUGCUUGUUGUUUUGUACUUUUAAUGAGGCAGUAGCAGAUCAUUCAGUAUAAAUUACCGCAUUUGGUGUUUAUGCCUGUCUCCCUUUAAGGCUUCUGCUUGUCCUACAUGGUACAGUCUGUUCCUAACAUCUUUGCUGAGGAACAGCAUGUUCCAGCCAAAUGCUGCUCCAGGUGGUGAAGUAACAAAGACAAAACAUGUUACAGGCAAACAAUGGGCUAAAUACAGUGGAAGAAGUUACUAGGCUUCAUACAGAAAUAUUUUAUAUAGUGCGUAUUUUAAUAUAGUAAUAAUGCACCAAAUGACUAAAUGUUAAACACUAUACAAAAAAAAUAAAUUAAAAAAAAAAAAAAAAAACGACAGGAUUUGGACAUGUAUAGGCAACCAAAUAAUUAGUUAUUAGAAGUUCAGGUAAUCCUAUGGGAAUUUAUUAGCCUAUAUAUCAUAUAUGUGUCAUUAUUUUACUCUUAAGAUACUCUUAAAAUGGAUUAGUAUCGCAUUAGUGACUGUCCACACAGGAUAACAGUGUCAUCGCGUGUUUAUUGUUAUUGUGCUUGUGUGUAAAUAAUGUCACAUUUGUAUAGAGUUGCAUUAUAGAGUAUGCAUACUGGUAAGUAUUGUGCAAAACGAUAUAUCGAUAUAUGUGUUAUUGUUUGAUUCUGUGUCACUCACUAACAAAUACAAAUAAAUGUAUCAAUCUGUUUUGUCUUGUGCUUCCUGAUCGUACACCUGGAUUAUAAUCUUGAAUUUAGUAUACUACGGAGCUGUUUAUUCAGAUAGGAAAAUAUACAGGCUCUUUUAGUAUAGCACAGUAUUAAUUUGGCCUACUUCUGCUUCACGGAUGAAACGGAAAGGUCGGUGUAAAGACUGUAUUUCCAUUGGAACUAAGUUGUUAUUUUGUUUGAACUCUAUCACAAUUUCACAAUAAAUUUGCCUAAAUUUUCCAGUGUAAAAAAACAAAACAAAAACGAAAUAUCUAGUAAGCUUAAAUGUAGUGAUCUACAUUAAACUGACAAACAUACAGCAUUGUUAGAGGCCUGAAGUGUAACCCAGCCGCGCUAGAAAUGUAUAGAGACACAGCCGAAAGUCUAACUGAAACACGGAAAUGUCGCUGUAGCUCUUUAGAAAACAUUUCAGAAACAGAUAAAUUCACACCGGACAAUUUCUAUUUGUCCUGUAUUAAUGUGCAAAGCAGAAACCUGUUGGUCAGUGCGACACUAAGAUCUAUUUCCGUGACAAUAUUGUAUAUACAAUAUGUUUAUCAAUAAAGGUGUUGUUUAGUACAGGCCUUUUCCUUCCAGAGAUUAUUAGUUUGAGAUAUUAACACUAUAUAUGCUGUAUAUAUGAAAACAAAUUCAAAACCAAAAUAGUGACCUUUUAAUUAAAGGAUAAAAUUCUCGGACGUGUACUGAGAGUGUUGUAGACUCGGGUAUGAUAGGUCAGGGCCUAUCUUUCCUUCAAGCAUCGUACACGUUCAGAAAUAUACGGUAGCCUACUAAACGGUACACCCUUUGGACCUUUUAUAUGUAUAUUUUAUCCAGAAAGAUAUGUAGUGUACCAUUGACUUUUACUCUGAAAGGUAAUUAAGGACCAAUUAUGUAUCUUAAUUAUUUUUUAAUGUUAGCCUACACUGUAUCCACAUUUCAAGGUGACGCAUACGUAUUAGAGGUACAAAUAUGAGUUUACAACGAUACAGUUCAACCCCCUUAUCCAUGAGAGUGUAAAGUUAAAUUAAUCCCUGGAGUGUUUAAUGAGAUGCUCACUCUAUCAUUUGACGAUUGGCUUUGUGCUGUUAUGUAUUCUGGAAACUCAACACUUAGUAGGUUAGGGAUAUUCUGAAGUGCUGUGAUCAUAUAGGAUCACGACUAUUGUGUUAUACUGGAUGAAUUGCACUUGCGCUCAGCUCUUAAGAACAAGUGGCUUCUGUUCGCAGACUUUAAUCAUACAUUAUACAUAGGCCAUAUAAACGGGCGAUUCCAAGUUGAAAGAAAGCUGGGUUAGCAACGUUUCAAGCAUUUUAUCUUGGAAACAAGUAGCUAUUUGUACCAGAUUAAAUUGCAAGCGGUAUUUCAACACGAGUUGAUAUGCUGUGCACCUAUAAGGAGAAUUGGAUUGACAAAAUAUUAUUUGGAAUUUAAUGUGUCAAUUAAGGGAAAACAAU